rnacentral:lncRNA from 1 species
GGGACAUUGGAACUCUGUUCCUUUAUUGAAAAAAAAAAAAUUCUAAAUAGAAAGGGGUAUUUAUAAGCCCAGGAAUUAUCACACUCCAUUUCAGUAAAUACUAGUAGAGUUUUUAUCACGUCGUCUUUCAUGUCACAGGAAACGAUAUCAGGAUAUGAUGGUUUAGUUGUUUACUAUUAACGUUGGUAUGUCAUCGCUUGGCUCAAU